rfam:Mesorhizobium sp. SOD10 genome assembly, contig: MPLSOD_Contig_15
GCGCCUCAUCAGGGGAGUCCCGGCGAGGGGGUGAGAUACUGCUAACAGCACGCAGUGACCCGUUGAACCUGAUCCAGUUCAUACUGGCGUAGGGAGGGUGCGAGGCUCUGCGG